rnacentral:tRNA from 1 species
GUCCUCGUAGCUUACAGAAAGCAUGACACUGAAGAUGUCAAGACGGCUGCCACCCGCACCCAAGGACA